GGGGGGUGUGGGGGAGGAGGGGGGUGGGGGGGGACAUUGGGGGACAUUUGGGGACAUUGGGGGACAUGGGGAGGACAGAGAGGGACGUGGGGGUGCGUGGGGGACGCGGGGUCUUUGGGAUUUUGUGUGAGCGCAACGGGACGUGGGGUGCUGUCCCUGUGUCCUCCCCCUGCCAUUGUCAUUGUCACCUCCCCACAGCGUCCCCUGCGCCCAUCUCGGAGGAGAAGUCCUGGAUGAAUUUCUUUACCCCCAUCCUCGAACACUUCAUGUACCCCCAAAACACCACGGGGACAGCAAAAGAGGACCCCAAAUUAGGGAAACCCCCCGGGUCGGUGACAUCCGCCUGGUUGGGGACACCACCAAAAAUGGGGACGCGACCCGGGUCGAUGACGGCUCCCGAAGAAGAGAAGGAUGAACCCCAAGAAUUUGGGUUGUGGCCUCGAGGAUACGGGGGAGGACAACCGGAGGGAGAGGGGGAGUGGCAUCGUGGGGUGGGGAUGGAGCAAUGGGGACAAUGGAUGGGUCACCACGGGUUGGGGACAGGUCAAGGACGUGGAAAAGAGGGUGAAGGUGGUGGAUCUUCAGGGGGUCAACCAGGAGGUCAAGGAGGACAUGGAAAAGAUGGUGAAGAUGGUGGAUCUCCAUGGAGUCAACCAGGAGGUCAAGGAGGACGUGGAAAAGAUGGAGAACAUGAGCAAGGUCAAGGAGGACAUGGAAAAAAGGGUGAAGGUGGUGGAUCUCCAGGGAGUCAACCAGGAGGUCAAGGGGGACGUAGUCCAGAUGGAGAACAUGAGCAAGGUCAAGGAGGACAUGGAAAAAAUGGUGAAGGUGGUGGAUCUUCAGGGAAAAAACCAGGAGAUCAAGGAGGACAUGGAAAAGACAGUGAAGGUGGUGGAUCUCCAGGGAGUCAACCAGGAGGUCAAGGAGGACGUGGAAAAGAUGGAGAAGAUGAGCAAAGUCAAGGACAUGGAAAAAAGGGUGAAGAUGGUGGAUCUUCAGGGAAAAAACCAGGAGGACAUGCAAAAGACGGUGAAGAUGGUGGAUCUUCAUGGAGUCAACCAGGGGGUCAAGG
rnacentral:lncRNA from 1 species